UACGUAGGAGGCAAGCGUUGUCCGGAAUUACUGGGCGUAAAGCGCGUGUAGGUGGUGGGACAAGUCUGCUGUGAAAGCGCCUGGCUUAACCGGGCGAGGUCGGCGGAAACUGUUCGACUCGAGGACGGUAGAGGGGGGUGGAAUUCCCGGUGUAGUGGUGAAAUGCGUAGAGAUCGGGAGGAACACCUGUGGCGAAGGCGGCCCCCUGGGCCGGCCCCGACACUGAGACGCGAAGGCGUGGGGAGCGAACGGG
rnacentral:rRNA from 1 species